AUGGUCAGGGCGAUGGGUAUUGCCGCGGCAAAAGGCUUCACCGCCGGUUCCAUGCACUACACGCCCAGCGGCGUCGUGUGUCUAGCCUUCGCCUUCGUGGCCGCGGUUGCGAUCGUGGCCGUCGCCGUGUUCGGCUGCGCCGGCCACAAGAGCUCCGGCGGGAAGAAGCCUCGACGUGGUCACGGCGGCUCCUACUGGGCAGCUGGAGCGGGCGCAGGCGCAGGCAUCUAUGUUGGAGACAGCGGUGUUAGCACAGGCGGCGGAGGCUGUGGAGGAGGUGGUGGCGGAGGCUGCGGGGGCGGAGGCGGUUGCUGA
rnacentral:rRNA from 1 species